CGUUCUGUAAGCCUGUGAAGGUGUGUCGUGAGGCAUGCUGGAGGUAUCAGAAGUGCGAAUGCUGACAUAAGUAACGAUAAAGCGGGUGAAAAGCCCGCUCGCCGGAAGACCAAGGGUUCCUGUCCAACGUUAAUCGGGGCAGGGUGAGUCGACCCCUAAGGCGAGGCCGAAAGGCGUAGUCGAUGGGAAACGGGUUAAUAUUCCCGUACUUGGUGUUACUGCGAAGGGGGGACGGAGAAGGCUAUGUUGGCCGGGCGACGGUUGUCCCGGUUUAAGCGUGUAGGUGUGUGUUCCAGGUAAAUCCGGUUCACUUUAACACUGAGGCGUGACGACGAGGCACUACGGUGCUGAAGCAACAAAUGCCC
rnacentral:rRNA from 1 species